AACCAGGACAACAGCGGCCCCUCCCACUAUACAACCUCAUUUCCUGGGUCCCCUGCUCCCUGUGCCAGAGUAGUGGUCCGCUUCAGAGGCCCUGCCACCUAGAAGCGAACUCCCCCCCAACCACCCCUCCCCAUCGGAAGCAAGGCCUGGCUGCUGGCCAGUGCUGCAGUACCAUGCCAUGGAUGCCCAGCCAUCUCAUCCUCUCCUCCAGGAGCCCCCAGGUGGGAAAACCGAGGCCCAGAGACUCAGUGACUUGCCCGGAGACACACAGCUGAUCUGAACCUCUGGACGCUGUCGAUAAACUGGCAGAUCUGGCUGCACUGCUUGGCGUUCCCAGACGGGCUCCCGGCUGCAGUUACCAUCCAUCCUUGUGCCCUUCUUGCUUGUAUCCAUGGGAACCAAGGAUGGACUGAGAGGGCUUCACAGUUUAAGAGAACUGGGAGAGAGCACAUUUCCUUGUGGAAGUGAAAGCCACUCUCUGGUUAACAUGCGAAGGAUGUCCAGGUCAAAAGAAAACCACAUCCCACCUGCUUGACUCCGGAUGCUCCCUGUGUGGGCCCCGCUCCCGGCUCUCCCUAGGCCGCAGUGACCAGCAUGUAUGUUGACUGCCCUGAGCCUGUCUCAGAUUCAUUCCCGAAUUGAAGCGGAGGUGAAUCCAGACUUGAAUCUUCAGCUGUUUCCUGAAUGUGUCUCCUAAAUGUCCCACAGGCGCCUCGUUCAACAAACACUUACUGAGCAUCCACUAUACGCCAGGCACUGACAUACAGGCACUCCGUCCGGCAAGACAUGAGAAUCAAACGAGGCCAGGCGCAGUGGUUCACGCCUGUAAUCCCAGGACUUUGGGAGGCUGAGGCGGGCAGAAAAUAAA